UGGGGAAUAUUGGACAAUGGGGGGAACCCUGAUCCAGCCAUGCCGCGUGUGUGAAGAAGGCCUUAUGGUUGUAAAGCACUUUAAGCGAGGAGGAGGGUACUGGUAUUAAUACUACCAGCUACUGGACGUUACUCGCAGAAUAAGCACCGGCUAACUCUGUGCCAGCAGCCGCGGUAAUACAGAGGGUGCGAGCGUUAAUCGGAUUUACUGGGCGUAAAGCGUGCGUAGGCGGCUAAUUGAGUCGGAUGUGAAAUCCCCGAGCUUAACUUGGGAAUUGCAUUCGAUACUGGUUAGCUAGAGUGUGGGAGAGGAUGGUAGAAUCCCAGGUGUAGCGGUGAAAUGCGUAGAGAUCUGGAGGAAUACCGAUGGCGAAGGCAGCCAUCUGGCCUAACACUGACGCUGAGGUACGAAAGCAUGGGGAGCAAACAGG
rnacentral:rRNA from 1 species